rnacentral:rRNA from 1 species
GAUGAACGCUAGCGGCAGGCUUAAUACAUGCAAGUCGAGGGGCAGCAGGACUGUAGCACUCCAGUUGCUGGCGACCGGCACACGGGUGCGGAACACGUACGCAACCUACCCAAAACUGGGGGAUAGCCCGGGGAAACCCGGAUUAAUACCUCGUAACCUUUUUAAGUGGCAUCACUUGAUAAGUAUAGCUCCGGCGGUUUUGUAUGGGCGUUCGCCUGAUUAGGUAGUUGGUGCGGGUAACGGCCCACCAAGACUGCGAUCAGUAACUGGCGUGGGAGAACGACAAGACAGACGGGAACAGAGAAAACGGCACGAGUCCGACGGGAGGCAGCAGAAGGGAAUAUUGGUCGGAGGAGUAAAGUCUGAACCGGCCAUGCCGCGUGAAGGAUUAAGGUCCUCUGGAUGGUAAACUUCUGUUAUGGGAGACGAAACCCGGAUAUUCUUAUACGAUUGACGGUACCUCAGGAAUAAGCACCGGCUAACUCCGUG